UACGAAGGGGGCUAGCGUUGCUCGGAAUCACUGGGCGUAAAGGGUGCGUAGGCGGGUCUUUAAGUCAGGGGGGAAAUCCUGGAGCUCAACUCCAGAACUGCCUUUGAUACUGAAGAUCUUGAGUUCGGGAGAGGUGAGUGGAACUGCGAGUGUAGAGGUGAAAUUCGUAGAUAUUCGCAAGAACACCAGUGGCGAAGGCGGCCCCCUGGGCAGUAACUGACGCUGAGGAGCGAAAGCGUGGGGAGCGAACAGG
rnacentral:rRNA from 1 species